CGCCUUCUCCUUUCCUGGGCAGCCGACCCCUGCCAGCCCAACCCUUGCUUGCAUGGUGGAACCUGCGUGCGGGACAACAGCUCCGAGGCCUUCCACUGCGAAUGCCAGGAGAAAUACCAGGGGAAACGCUGCGAGGACGAGCCAGGAGAGGAUUGGCGGACCCCCCUCUACAUCACGCUGGGCGUGGCGGCCGGCGCCGUCCUGCUGGCCGUGGUGGUCUCCGUGCUGGCCUGCUCGUGCACGCGCAGGAAUCGAAGCGCCUCGCGCCGGUCGCGGAACUCGGCGGCUCCCCGCAACCUCGGCCACCUCUCCAACCCCGCCUUUGAGCGCGACUAGAAGCCCCGGAGCCCGCCGCUCCCUCCGGCCGUUCCCAAUAAAGCG
rnacentral:lncRNA from 1 species